rnacentral:rRNA from 1 species
AGAGUUUGAUCCUGGCUCAGGACGAACGCUGGCGGCGUGCUUAACACAUGCAAGUCGAACGAGAUCCCGACCGAGCGAAUCUUCGGAAGAGCGAGGGAGGGUGAAAGUGGCGAACGGGCGAGUAACGCGUGGGCAAUCUGCCCUUCACAGGGGGAUAACACCGGGAAACCGGUGCUAAUACCGCAUAAACCGGCAGCACCGCAUGGUGCAACCGGCAAAGGAGUAAAAUCCGGUGAAGGAUGGGCCCGCGUCCAAUUAGCUAGUUGGUGAGGUAACGGCCCACCAAGGCGACGAUUGGUAGCCGGGCUGAGAGGCCGAUCGGCCGCAUUGGGACUGAGACACGGCCCAGACUCCUACGGGAGGCAGCAGUGGGGGAUAUUGCGCAAUGGGGGAAACCCUGACGCAGCGACGCCGCGUGAAGGAUGAAGGUUUUCGGAUCGUAAACUUCUUUGACCGGGGACGAAGAAAUGACGGUACCCGGGGAACAAGCCACGGCUAACUACGUGCCAGCAGCCGCGGUAAUACGUAGGUGGCGAGCGUUGUCCGGAUUUACUGGGUGUAAAGGGCGCGUAGGCGGGGCGGCAAGUCCGAUGUGAAAUCCCGCGGCUCAACCGUGGAACCGCAUCGGAAACUGUCGUCCUUGAGUAUCGGAGGGGAAAGCGGAAUUCCUAGUGUAGCGGUGAAAUGCGUAGAUAUUAGGAGGAACACCGGUGGCGAAGGCGGCUUUCUGGCCGAAAACUGACGCUGAGGCGCGAAAGCGUGGGGAGCAAACAGGAUUAGAUACCCUGGUAGUCCACGCCGUAAACGAUGGAUACUAGGUGUGGGAGGUAUCGACCCCUUCCGUGCCGUCGUAAACACAUUAAGUAUCCCACCUGGGGAGUACGGCCGCAAGGCUGAAACUCAAAGGAAUUGACGGGGGCCCGCACAAGCAGUGGAGUAUGUGGUUUAAUUCGAAGCAACGCGAAGAACCUUACCGGGGCUUGACAUCCCGCGCUAUUCCGGGAAACCGGGAGUUCCCUUUUCGGGACGCGGAGACAGGUGGUGCAUGGUUGUCGUCAGCUCGUGUCGUGAGAUGUUGGGUUAAGUCCCGCAACGAGCGCAACCCUUGUCGUCAGUUGCCAUCAUUAAGUUGGGCACUCUGACGAGACUGCCGGUGACAAAUCGGAGGAAGGUGGGGAUGACGUCAAAUCAUCAUGCCCUUUAUGUUCCGGGCUACACACGUACUACAAUGGCUGUUACAACGGGAAGCGAAGCCGCGAGGCGGAGCGAAUCCUACAAAAGCAGCCCCAGUUCGGAUUGCAGGCUGCAACUCGCCUGCAUGAAGUCGGAAUUGCUAGUAAUGGCAGGUCAGCAUACUGCCGUGAAUACGUUCCCGGGCCUUGUACACACCGCCCGUCACACCAUGAGAGUUCGCAACACCCGAAGUCUGUGAGCCAACCCGCGAGGGAGGCAGCAGCCGAAGGCGGGGCGAAUGAUUGGGGUGAAGUCGUAACAAGGUAGCCGUAUCGGAAGGUGCGGCUG